rnacentral:rRNA from 1 species
CCUACGGGUGGCAGCAGUGGGGAAUCUUGGGCAAUGGAGGCAACUCUAACCCAGCAACGCCGCGUGAGUGAUGAAGGUCUUCGGAUUGUAAAACUCUUUAAGUGGGGACGAAGAAAGUGACUGUACCCACAGAAUAAGCCUCGGCUAACUACGUGCCAGCAGCCGCGGUAAUACGUAGGAGGCAAGCGUUCUCCGGAAUGACUGGGCGUAAGGGGAGCGUAGGUGGUUCGGCAAGUUAGUAGCGUAAGUCCGGGGCUCAACCUCGGAACUACAAGUACAACUGGUGGGCUUGAGUGCAGGAGGGGAAUAUGGAAUUCCGAGUGUAGCGGUGGAAUGCGUAGAUAUAAGGAAGAACACCAGUGGCGAAGGCGAUAUGCUGGACUGUAACUGACACUGAGGCACGAAAGCGUGGGGAGCAAACAGGAUUAGAUACCCGUGUAGUC